CUUGGAGUGAGGAGUUGCCACUUGCUUUCGACGCCGCGCACCGCCGCAGGCUGGAAA
rnacentral:SRP_RNA from 1 species